UACGUAGGAUGCAAGCGUUGUCCGGAUUUAUUGGGCGUAAAGAGAACGUAGGCGGCCACUUAAGUUUGGUCUUAAAGACUGGGGCUCAACCUCAGGAAUGGAUCGAAUACUGGGUGGCUAGAGGACGUCAGAGGAAGGUGGAAUUCCCAGUGUAGCGGUGAAAUGCGUAGAUAUUGGGAGGAACACCAGUGGCGAAAGCGACCUUCUGGGACGUUCCUGACGCUGAGGUUCGAAAGCUCGGGGAGCAAACAGG
rnacentral:ncRNA from 3 species